rnacentral:lncRNA from 10 species
CAGCGGCCCAGAUAUCCAAGGGACACAACAGGUGGAGUCCUCUGCUGACCUGUGAUGGGCACCUCGUAUGAGCGAGACAGCGGCUACCGUGGUUUUUGUUGAGAGAGUUUCACUCUGUCACCCAGGUUAGAGUGCAGUGGCACAAUCUCGGCUCACUGCAACUCCUCCUCCCAGGUUCAAGCGAUUCUCGUGCCUCGGCCUCCCAAGUAGCUGGGAUUACAGGUGCCCACCACCACACCCAGCUAACCCUGGCUAAUUUAUUUUUAGUAGAGACAGGUAUGUCGGCCAGGCUGGUCUUGGUCUUGAACUCCUGACAGGCAUGAGCCACCGCACCCAGUCCAGCUUCUGUGGUUUUAAGUCACUGUGAUUUGGGGUUGUUGCUAUGAUACAACCUACGCUACCCUGACUAAGGCUCUGAUCUAGAAGCGACACUGGAGGCCAAUGUAAGGCGCCACAGGGCCUGGGACAAUGGGAGUGUGGUCUGACUAGUGUGGAAAAGCUGUUCUUUGAAGAAGGCCUGCCGUUAGGGAAGUCAGCUGUCACGUUCUCCCCACUAGGCCCCCCAGGAGUCUGACGGGCCCCAAAGGCGUCUCUGUGCUGACUCUCCCACUUUGCCAGGAGCAACUGGCAGAAAACACUACGGGGAGGUGUCCCCUUCCCACCAAGGACAACCAGAGGGGGUAACGCGCCCCAACUGUGCCAAGGCUGGAGGGAACCUGCUUCUCCAGUUCUCAUAAUUCACAGUAACUGAACUAAGGCAAGGGAGCUGGGGCUCUAAGGAAAUGGAAUUGUGAGCCGGGAAGGCAUCUGGAAAACGUUGGCUGUAAUUCCAACCACACGCUGAUUCUUAGAAAAAACACAGAAUGGAUCAGUGUGGAAACGAUCUGUGGCUUUAGGUUUUUCCUGGAAGAGCCUCGAUCCUCUGACACAGAGAAGUCAUCUGAUGUGAUUCCCUCUAACCAAGAAGUAACUCAUGUCCGUUAAACCUUUACUUUAAGCCAGGUACUGUAUGGAGCACUUUCAACUCACUCAACCCUUCGAGCCCCAGCAGGCAAGAUCCCACUCUCCCACUUCACAGUAGGGGACGGAGAGGAGGUGUCCUUGGGCAGAGGCAGAACUUGGGGGUGGGCCCCCAGCUGUCCCUCGCGCUUUAUCCAGUAAGUUCUUUUUUUUUCUUUUUUUAUUUUGAGACGGAGUCACACUCUGUUGCCCAGGAUGGAGUGCAGUGGCAUGAUCUUGGCUCACUGCAACCUCUGCCUCCCAGGUUCAAGUGAUUCUCCUGUCUCUGCCUCUCGAGUAGCUGGGACUACAGGCGCGCACCACCACACCCGGCUAAUUUUUGUAUUUUUAGUAGAGACGAGGUUUCACCAUGUUGGCCAGGCUGGUCUCAGACUCCUGACCUCAGAUGAUUCCCCACUGCCUCGGCCUCCCAAAGCGCUGGGAUUACAGGCGUGAGAAACCACACCCAGCCAAACCAGCGAGUUGACUUUUACGCUCAGCUUUGCUCUGCAAUAGCAUCAUGGUCAGUCUACACGAUUUAUGUUGUCUGUUUGCCACCUAUGCCAACGUGACGGCUAGGACAACAGCUGGUGCGGAGGGAUUGGCAAUGUCUGUAAGGAGGGGGACACCACAAAGCCAGCCUGGCUCAGCCUGGAGCGCCCUGGCCCCGGCUGCUCCGAGGGGGCACUUACUUGAACGUGAAGGCCUCAGGGGGCAGGUACACACCAUCACCAACUCGGUACAGGAUGCCGUUCUUGGUGGCUGAGUAGUAGAGGACCCGGCUAUCCAGGUCCUCGAGCUGCUCCAGGACCCUGGGGAUUUCUUUUUGCCUCAUCUCAGCCAGACGGGCACAGCUCACACAGAAUCUGAAGGAAACAAAGGGACAGAAACAUAAGGCCCUGAGGUGGCCGGCAGUGGCCGCAGCAGCUACUGCCAGCUUAAUCCAGAGACUCUGGUAACCAAGAGGAAAAAACAUUUGCAGAUGCUAGAAGGAAGAGGUGGCUUUCUUGUGCUUUGUGUUGACAUUUUGAAGGCACUUAUUUGAGACCAAAGCCCAGAGAGAACAUAGCAAGAAAAUCAGGCAACUUUUGAGUCAUUGAGACAAAAACCCUAAGAUAUCAAUGAACAGGGUCUAGAAUAUGGUUAAGAACACACCACGAGCAACAGUCCCGAGUGGCUCAGUGAGGAACUCAAUCCAGCAGAGACUCCUACUGUUCUCUCCAUAAAGGCUCAACAGGUAUUUGAGGAAAUUCAACAUUAUUCUUGACUAGUAAGCCCUUAAAGGAGACUUGAAGAUGGCCUUAAAAAUAGAGAUCAAGGCCCAGCAUGGUGGCUCAUGUCUGUAAUCCCAGCCCUUUGGGAGGCCAAGGCAGGAGGGUCGCUUGAGCCCAGAAGUUUGAGACUAGCCUGGCCAACACAGUGAGACCCCGUCUCUACAAAAAAUUUUUAAAACAUUAACCAGGCAGGGUGGUGCAUGCCUGCAGUCCCAGCUACUCAGGAGGCUGAGGCAGGAAGAUCACUUGAGCCCAGCAGGUCGAGGCUACAGUGAGCUGUGACCACACCACUGCAUUCCAGCCUGGGUGACAGAGGGAGACCCUGUCUCAGAUAAAUAAAUAAAUAAAUAAAUAAAUAAAUAAAAGAGGUUGGGUGAUAAAUAAAUAAGUAAAUGAGGUUGGGUGCAGUAGUUCAUGCCUGUAAUCCCAGCACUUUAGGAGCCUGAAGGGAGCAGAUGACCCAAGGUCAGGAGUUCCAGACCAGCCUGGCCAACACGGUGAAGCCCUGUCUCUACUAAAAAUACAAAAAUUAGCCGGGCAUGGUGGCAGGCGCCUGUAGUCCCAGCUACUUGGGAAGCUGAGGCAGGAGAAUCACUUGAACCCAGGAGGUGGAGGUUGCAGUGAGCCGAGAUCGUGCCACUGCACUCCAGCCUGGGUGACAAGAGUGAAACUCCAUCACAAAAAAGUAAAAAAUAAAAUGAAAAUAGAGAUCAAGCCAAAGCUAGCACGAGACUUAUGGGAGAAGCACAGAUGCCCCCGGGGAGCCCUCUUGGCCUCCUGGGUUUCCCUGGUUGCCACCUGCUCCUCUGGGGGUGCUGGCUGCUGCUUUUAGUUGAAACAAGUGAGGUACGGAGGUUAAAAAGAAGGCAUGGGGCAUUGGACAUUAAAAAAUAAAAGCUCGCCGGGCGCGGUGGCUCACACCUGUAAUCCCAGCACUUUGGGAAGCCGAAGCGGGUAGAUCACCUGAGGUCGGGAGUUCGAGACCAGCCUGACCAACAUGGAGAAACCCCAUCUCUACUAAAAAUACAAAAAAAGUAGCCGGGCAUGGUGGCCCAUGCUUGUAAUCCCAGCUACUCAGGAGGCUGAGGCAGGAGAAUCGCUUGAACCCAGGAAGUAGAGGUUGCGGUGGGCCAAGAUUGAGCCACUGCACUCCAGCCUGGGCAACAAAAGCGAAACUCUGUCUCAAAAAAAAAAAAAAAAAAAAAAUUAAAAAAAUAAUAAUAAAAUAAAAUAAAAAAUAAAAGCUUCCCUCAAAGCAGUCACCCAGUUACAAAAGAAUCGAGGACAGGUGUGGUGGCUCACGCCUGUAAUCCCAGCACUUUGGGAGGCCAAGGCGGGCAGAUCACAAGGUCAGGAGAUCGAGACCAUCCUGGCUAACACAGUGAAACCUCGUCUCUACUAAAAAUACAAAAAACUAGCCGGGUGUGGUGGCAGGCGCCUGUAGUCCCAGCAACUCAGGAGGCUGAGGCAGGAGAAUGGCAUGAACCCAGGAAGCUGAGUUUGCAGUAAGCCAAGAUCGCACCACUGCACUCCAGCCUGGGCAACAGAGCGAGACUCCGUCUCAAAAAAAAAAAAAGAAAAAAAAAAAGGAAAGAAAAGAAUCAAAUAAGAGGUCUCAUUUACAGGAGAAAAUAUCUAAGAAACAGCCAAAAACAUGCAAGAGCUGGGCACACACUGAAGAACACACGGGAAGUCUUGAAAUGGCAAGACGAACCCUGUUCCUGGGUAGGGAACCCUCUUACAAAGACAACGCCAGGUCAUCCACACACUUAAAGCAACUCCAGGCCAUCUACACACUUGAGCAUCAUUCAUAGUCAGGCUGGCCUUUGACGAGCAAGAGACACAAACUGGGGGGCCGUUGGCGGAAGCCAACCAGACGGAAGCACACGGGAAAAGGGAGUGAUGUGGGCUGAAAGUGCCUGCUGACCCCGAGUCCAGCCCCAGUGCUCACUUGAACUUGUUGUCCUCUGUUGGCUGGGUUUUUGGAGGGGACUCGAAUCUCGCGUAGUCUUGAUCAUACCACAGCUGGUAGAAGUAGGUCUUCCCGUCGUCCCCCUCCAGCAGGGACUCGGGAUCCAUGCCUCCCUUGGGAGAUAAGAAUGCGUGUCAGGCCAGGCGCAGUGGCUCAUGCCUGUAUUCCCAGCACUAUGGGAGGCCGAGGCGGGUGGAUCACCUAAGGUCAGGAGUUCGAGACCAGCCUGGCCAACAUGGUGAAACCCCGUCUCUACUAAAAAUACAAAAAAUUAGCUGGACGUGAUGGUGGGUGCCUGUAAUCCCAACUACUCGGGAGGCUGAGGCAGGAGAAUCACUUGAACCCAGGAGGUGGAGGUUGCAGUGAGCUGAGAUCAUGCCAUUGCACUCCAGCCUGGGCAACAAGAGCGAAACUCAGUCUCAAAACAAAAAAAAAAACAAAAAAAAAACCAAAUUAAAAAAAAAUACAAAUCAAAACAAAACAGAACGCACGUCAGCAGUGACCCUCCACGAUAAGGCAGGGGCUCACGAGGGACACCAGGCACUCACCUCCAUGGCCCAGUUUUCGGAGGGGGCUUUGUAGAUGACUUUCACUUUGCUGUGGAUAUAUGAAAGCUGCAUGUCCUCACAUUCAUCCACCAAGAACAGCUCCAGAGGGUCCGACGUGGCCCCGAGGACUGUGUCUGUCCCAGCGCAGAACCAGUGGGCGUGAAACAUCUGCCCGUUGCUGCUGUCCUCCCACAGCGCCGUGACCCUGGAAUCAGAAGACGGGCAUGGGGAGAAAGUUCUGACUUGGCCAGCAGAUAUGUGACCAAGUCUAUGCAGGAGCACUCGUCCUUUUCAGUUUUCAUCUAGGGCAAAAAGCUGCUGGUGCUAUUUUGGCAAAACAGGCAUCUCCUACUUGAUGAGAAAGUGCAUGCAGAAGUCAAGCAAAAAGAAAGAUGCAAACCUUGCUAGAUACAGCGGUUUUGAGGAAUCAUCUGGAAUAACAGAGACACAGUCCCCCACUUCCAGGGUUUCCGCAUCAAUGCACACCUUCUUAUAGUAACUCUUCUUCCCAUCAGUCUGAAAAUGAGAGCAUAAGUUCAUGGAGGAUCAUUCUGAGGGUCUUUGCUGGCCUUGACUUGCAUGGUCCUCUGUUACUUAAAGUAAGACAUGACUCGAUUUCAUUAAGAAGUCAAUGAAGAGUUGCUGCUAAAGAGAACAUCCUGUUCUACAAGGGCUUCAAUAAUAAGAAAAAAGAAGAACAUCCACCUUCCUUGGCCAGAUGCUGUGGCCAAGGGCAUCCAUGUCCCUCCCACUUCUGCUCUGCCACUCGGGUCCCAGGAUUUGAUUUUAACAGCACAGCCCACAAUACCUCACCAUGGUCUGUAAGGCCACAGCCUGAACCCUGACCCCUGUCCUGCCCAUCAUCCCCUGGCUCAAGCCACUCCAGCUGCAGGGGCCUCCUUCCUUUUCUCCAACAAAGUAAGCUGACUGCCACCUCAGUGCAGCUCUCCCCCAGGUCGUGUGGCUAGGUCCUACCUGACCUUCUCCAUCUCAGCCCAGGUGUCACCUCUGCAAGGCCUCGUGGCCCCAGCCUCCUCCCAGCCCCCUACCCUGCAGAGGCACUCAUGCCAUGCAGCAGUACCCAUGUCUGUCCUCCUGCAGGGGCUCAGCCACGGCCCAGGCAGCCAGCAGGUGGCAAGCCUCAUAAUUAAGUGAACUGAUUGCAUCUUUAAUUUAUGGACGUCAGAGAAGCAACACAGAGGAUACUCACUCCUCUCUCUCACACUGUGGUAAAGGAACUGACCUUCAGUGAAGCCAAUGACCACAGAACGGAUGGGAGGCCAUCUGUUGGUGCCCCAAAAAGACCCACCCCACACCAGAGGGGGCUGUGACAGCUCUCUUGGAAACAAGCUAUGAGGGGCCAGGCACAGUGGCUCCUGCCUGUAAUCCCAGCACUUUGGGAGGCUGAGGUGGGUGGAUCACUUGAGGCCGGAGUUCGAGAAUGGCCUGGGCAACAUGAUGAAACCCCGUCUCUACUAAAAAUACAAAAAAAGUUAGCCUGGCAUGGUGGUGCACGCCUGUAAUCUCAGCUAUUCAGGAGGGUGGGGCAGGAGAAUCGCUUGAACCUGGGAGGCAGAGGUUGCAGCGAGCUGAGAUCGUGCCACUGCACUCCAGCCUGGGUGACAGAGCAAGAUUCCAUCUUAAACAAAACAAAACAGAAAAACAAGCUAUGAGGGCUCACCUGCCUGAUGCCCCUAGAACUGUGUCAAAUGCCCAUUUUGGGACAUUAGGAGAACUGAGCCUUGUGGCCACACAAAAAUGCCUUGCUGGUACUGAGCCAUGGAACAUGGUCUCUUGGCCAGUCCCGCUCUUCUCAGGGGCAAACAGACAGGUUUCUUAGUGCCGGGGCUCAGGCUGCCUGAGAGGUCAGGUUGGCGAGAUACUAGAGGGCAACCUGCUUAUUGGGAACAUGGCAGUGAGCUGACCAAGGGGCUCCAAGGGUUACCUUGACGGCUUCUCCGACCCAAGAGAUGCGAUUCUUGUUCUGUUUCUUCUUCUUCCCCUGGUGCAUUUUUUUGGGUGACGG